GAUAAGAUUUAAGAAAAGUACAUAACUUUGUGGUGUUGGGAAACUUAUUUCCCUCACCAGGAGAUUGUUGCAUACAUGUACGGGUGAUCACUUCCAGACAGAGGUAGUUACAAUAUCUGUACGGGAAUGAGGAUUAUUUAUAAGACUGAAAUUAUUGUAUUAUUUGCUGGAAAUGUGGAAUAUGAGGAAUUUAAAGCCAUUCGUGAGUAGUUUUUGAUGAUUCAGCUGGACAAAUGCUGGAAAUUAUACAGUUUUCUCCCACCUUAAAACAGUACAUGGUAUAUCAUGGACACCAAAAGCAAACUAUAAAGAUCUAAAUGCCAUAAUUUUGUGCAUCUUGAAAACUGGAAAGGCGGAUCACUUUGAAGCAGAUGAUAGUGAUAGUGUUUAAAAGAAUUCUUUGCGACAGUUAUAGCAGUUGGAACAGAUAAAAGAUACAUCAGAUGACAGACUUACAUAUAGAGGAGCCUAUAAUUAGAGAAAUGGAUCAACUUGAUUUUGAAGUUAACCUACAUGUACUGCAUUAAUAUGAAAUUUCAUAAGUGACUGAGCUUAAAGAAAAUCACACAUGAAACUGUAACCAGUUUGGGAGACUCAUACAACAGAACAUUUCAAUACCUAUUAAGUUUUUUAUGUAUAUGUUUGACUUUUGGUAAUAUUUUGGAAAUUACUUUAGUAAUUGAGAGACCUCAAUGUUGAAAAUGACAAUUUUGAUAGAGGACAAUUUUAAGAAUAUCAACUUAGUUGUUUAUGAAUCUUUAUCUUUUAAAAUAUUACUGGGUGUCUGAAAGAAUAUUUCAAAAAUUUCUGAAACUAUUUAGAUAUUUAUCAUGUUCUAUGUGUUUAUAUAGGCAAAUAUUUAUACAUGUCAUUUAUGUUAUGCAAGGGUUUAUAUGAAUUUCUAAAAAGAUGUAUAUAUAUGUGUUGAUAAAAUAAGUUCCAAAUUAUUACAGAGUAACAGAAAAUGGGAUCAAUUUAUAUUAAAACAAAUCUGUUAAAAGGGAAUGAAAAGUCAAAAAUUGUAUUUUUUAAAAUAAUUGUGUUAACAUUUUUGUGCUAUUUAGAAAUAUGUACACAAAAAAUAUAAACUUUAAUAUAAGUAUCAAUGUAGU